CGGUAGCUCAGCUGGAUAGAGCAAUCGCCUCCUAAGCGAUAGGUCGCAGGUUCGAAUCCUGCCCGGG
rnacentral:tRNA from 1 species